rnacentral:rRNA from 2 species
AUAACAUUUGGAAACAGAUGCUAAUACCGCAUAGAUCCAAGAACCGCAUGGUUCUUGGCUGAAAGAUGGCGUAAGCUAUCGCUUUUGGAUGGACCCGCGGCGUAUUAGCUAGUUGGUGAGGUAACGGCUCACCAAGGCGAUGAUACGUAGCCGAACUGAGAGGUUGAUCGGCCACAUUGGGACUGAGACACGGCCCAAACUCCUACGGGAGGCAGCAGUAGGGAAUCUUCCACAAUGGACGCAAGUCUGAUGGAGCAACGCCGCGUGAGUGAAGAAGGCUUUCGGGUCGUAAAACUCUGUUGUUGGAGAAGAAUGGUCGGCAGAGUAACUGUUGUCGGCGUGACGGUAUCCAACCAGAAAGCCACGGCUAACUACGUGCCAGCAGCCGCGGUAAUACGUAGGUGGCAAGCGUUAUCCGGA